UACGUAGGGUGCGAGCGUUAAUCGGAAUUACUGGGCGUAAAGCGCGUGUAGGCGGCCCUGCAAGUCGGAUGUGAAAUCCCACGGCUCAACCGUGGAAGUGCAUUCGAAACUGCAGGGCUAGAGUCCUGGAGAGGAAGGUGGAAUGCUUGGUGUAGAGGUGAAAUUCGUAGAUAUCAAGCGGAACACCGGUGGCGAAGGCGGCCUUCUGGACAGUGACUGACGCUGAGACGCGAAAGCGUGGGGAGCAA
rnacentral:rRNA from 1 species